rnacentral:rRNA from 1 species
UCCAGGUCGGUGCCCGGGAGCGAGGCGAAGAUGUCCACCAGCAUCUCCACAGGAAGGUCCUGCAGCGAGCAGUGCGGCGGCGGCAUGGGGCUCGUGAUUCCUCCACUCCCCGCACAGCACAACGCUGAGGCGUCCGCCUCGACGCGCUUUUCUGCCGGGGCCGGCUUGCUUUUGGGCGCUGCCUUCUCAGCUGGUCCCUGGCACUCCUGAAGACACUGCUUGCCUUCUGCCGCUGCCAUCUCAGCUGGGCGCUGGCGCUUCUGAGGGCACCGCUUGCCUUCGGCCGCUGCUGUCUCUGCUGGGCCCUGGCACUCCUGAGGACACCGACAUCGCCGAGAAGAGCCCAAGCGGCAGAGGCAAGUGCACUCCUCCAUGCCUCCACGUGUAACAGCCAACACAAUCCACCUAUGUCGUAUUUAAAAAAGUCUCUCUCACCCCUCCCACUGUGGAGUCAGCUCUCUGGCCACAGAAGCCUUGGGCUGCAGUGAGGUCUGAGCCAAUCAGAAGCCACGCUAGAGCCGCUUGCCCAUUGCGGCGGUGUGAUUGGUGGAUUCCAGCAUAAGAGCCUGUCUGUGGCUCCGACCCUGCCUGCCAGUGCCAAACAAUCUUCAACCCGCACUUGCUGGAAGGAGCAAAACCGCUCCCAAGUCGCUCUCCUUCCCUUUCGCCCAUCCGAGUGUCGGGGGAGGGGGGGUCGGGGGAGGGUUCGGGGUGGCGCCGGGGCGUGGAGGGCCUGGGAGGACUGUCCCCAGUGCGCCCCUGGAGAAGUCACGCAGUAGGGUCCGGUGGGGGGGGGGGGUUUGCAAGGCGCCACACCGCGGACCCAAGCGAGCGCACAGGGUCUGCAGCAAAGUCGGCCACCCAUCUGACCCGUCUUGAAACAUGGACCAAGGAGUCUAACACGUGUGCGAGUCCGGGGCUCACACGAAAGGUACCGUGGCGCAAUGAAGGUUAAGGACCGUCAGGGCCGAGGUGGGAUCCCGAGGCCUCUCCAGUCCACCGAGGGCGCACCACCCGCCCGUAUUGCCUGCCUUGCCGGGGAGGUGGAGCAUGAGCGCACAUGUUAGGACCCGAAAGAUAGUGAACUAUGCCUGGGCACGGCGGAGCCACAGGAAACUCUGGUGGAGGUCCGUAGCGGUCCUGAUGUGCAAAUCGGUAGUCCGACCUGGGUAUAGGGUUGAAAGACUAAUCGAAUCAUCUAGUAAGUGGCUCCCUCCGAAGUUUCCCUCAGGAUAGCUGGCGUUCUCGCAAACACAGUUUUAUGCGGAAAAGCGAAUGAUUAGAGGUCCUGAGGCCAAAAUGAUCUCAACCUAUUCUCAAACUUUAAAUGGGUAAGAAGCCCGGGUGUAGAAUAGGAGUGCAUGGUGGGUCACUUUUGUUAGGCAGAACUGGCGCUUCCGGAUAAACGGAGCGCCGGGUUACGGCGCCCUAUGCCAACGCUCAUCAGACCCCAGAAAAGGUGUUGGUUGAUAGAGACAGCAGGACGGUGGCCACGGAAGUGGGAAUCCGCUAAGUUGUGUGCAACAACUCACCUGCCGAAUCAACUAGCCCUGAAAAUGAAUGGCGCUGGAGCGUCGAGCCCAUACCCAGCCCUCGCUGGUGGUCGGUCAGAGACAGGGGAACCGGAGCAAACCGGGCUGCACUUCGGCGGCGCCCGGCCCACACCCACGCCAAGCUACGCCACGACAACUAGGAGGGCCGCUGCGGUGAGCCUUGAAGCCUAGGGCACAGGCCCGGGUGGAGCCGUCACAGGUGCAGAUCUUGGUGGUAGUAGCAAAUGUUCAAACGAGAUCUUUGAAGGCCGAAGUGGAAAAGGGUUCCAUGUGAACAGCAGUUGAACGUGAGUCAGUCGGUCCUGAGAGAUGGGCGAGCGCCAUUCUGAAGGGACGGGCGAUGGCCUCAGUUGCCCUCAGCAGAUCUAAAGCGAGUCGGGUUCAGAUCCCCGAGUCCGGAGUGGCGGAGACGGGCGCCACGAGGCGUCCAGUGCGGUAACACAACCGAUCCCAGAGAAGCCGGCGCGAGCCCCGAAGAGAGUUCUCUUUUCUUUGUGAAGGCCAGGGCGCCCUGGAAUGGGUUCGCCCCGAAAGAGGUUCCCAUGCCUUGGAAAGCGUCGCGGUUCCGGUGGCGUCCGGUGAGCUCGCGCUGGCCCUUGAAAAUCCGGAGAAGAGGUUGUAAAUCUCGAGCCUGGCCAUACCCAUAUGCUCCGGGGGUGGGAUGGGGGUUUCAGGACGGCGCCGGGGGCGGGGAGGGGGGCGGCGAGGACUUGGCUGCGUGGCGCCCCAGGCGGUGGUGCUGGGUAAGGGGGGAGGUCUCCCGCGGGGCUCUGGGGCAGAAACACAUGAGCGGGGUUUGGCCAGGGGAGGGGAGAAGCAGUGGCGACAGCGACUCCUGGCGUGAGCCUGGCCCUUCCCAUGGAUUGCCCCAGCUAUGGCAGGCAUCACGGCCGCCCGCGGGGAACCAUUCAGGUGGCUGGUCCCGCCCGGGGUUGCAUUGGGCCUCGCCUGCAUUGCUGCUCCUGGCCGCGCACGCACGUGCGCACAGGCCCCCCCCCCCCCCCGACAGGACCGCCCCUGGGGCCGUGGUUCCGAGUGGCCCCUCGCCCUGGCUGGCACCUAGCAGCCAGCUUCGAACUGGUGCGGACCAGGGGAAUCUGUUUAAUUCCAACAAAGCAUCCCGAAGGCCCGCAGCGGGUGUUGACACGACGUGAUUUCUGCCCAGUGCUCUGAAUGUCAAAGUGAAGAAAUUCAAUGAAGCGCGGGUCAAGGGUGGCAGCAACUAUGACUCUCUUAAGGUAGCCAUAUUCCUCGUCAACUAAUUAGUGAGGUGCAUGAAUGGAUGAACGAGAUUCCCACUGUCCAUACCUCCUAUCCAGCCAAACCACAGCCAAGGGAUCCGGCUUGGAGGAAUCAGCGGGGAAAGAAGACCCUGUUGAGCUUGACUCUGGCCUGGCACGGUGAAGUGACAUGAGAGGUGUAGCAUAAGUGGGAGGCCCACGGCGCCCAUUUCCUGAGUCUCGGCCAGGGGUGUGGAUUGGGCAUACGGGCCUUUUGGGCCGCAGGUGAAAUACCACUACUCUGAUCGUUUUUUUCACUGACCCAGUGAGGCGGGGGGGUGGUGGGGUGGUGGGGGGAAGUCCCCCAGAUGGCCUGGCCCUGGCGGGGCGAAGAGCCCCUCCGGCCCUCUGCUGGUCGAGAAGCGCCAAUGCAAGCCAUCCUCCUGCAGCCAGAGCCCAUUCCCUUCGAGGAAUGAAUGCCGGGCGUAGCCACGUUCAGCAGAACCUUUCCUUUGGGUCCUUUUGGUGAUUGUCAUCUGAAGGGGUGUGCCAUGCUGGGCCUAGCAUGGGGCAUGUGCGGCCCUGCCUUAAACUUGACGCCUGACCGGUGACGCUUUCAAUCCUGGGGGCGGCUGAUUGGUGGAACGGGCGGGAGGCUGAUUU